rnacentral:misc_RNA from 1 species
AAAGCCCUUCAUCAUUUUCGUCAAAUUAAAGUUUUGUCAUGAAAGGAUCAAGUCCCUUCUCCUACUCAAGAACUACAAAUUUUCGCUCAUAAUUUCUUCCCAAAGUAGACCUUUUCUAACUCCUAUUUAAGCUUAGACAUCUAACUGCACUAUAUUUAUCAUCAUGCCCCUUCGAGCUGAAGGAAAAAAUUUUCCGGUAUUUACUACUGUUUACAGCAGGCAAGAAACCACUCCCUAUCUUCAUGAAUUCAUCCCGUACGGCAUCUCAGCAGUGAGUUUAUGCAUUUCUCGCUAAACAGGGCUUAAAUCAUUCGACCUCUUGGAUCCUGCUCAAUGUGGCCAUGAACGCAAGAAACUUGGCAUGAAAUUCUCAACACACGCUGCAAAAGUUUCGAUCCUCCGGGUGGAAGUUUUUGCUUUCUACAAAAUGUUCCAUGCCACAAAGCGGUGGAUAGAUGAAUAUGCUGGUUGAAUGCUUACAAAGAUGCUUAAUAAGUUUCUGACUGCAUCAGUUAUCAUUAAUUUAUUUAUUUAAGGAGAUGAGGAAAAGAAAAAAAGAAAGGUCCUGAUUGAAUAUUAAUGGAACUAUUGAUCGUUACAAAGAGCUUCACAUGAGCUCGAAUUAUUGAAUCCCUAUAAAGGAUAUAUGGUACACGACAUAUACCCAGCGGCACUCUUGCCACAGACUUGAUUCCUUAUUAGCUCAUCUGUAACCUCAGAGAAAUCAAUCAAAGAAGUGAUGGCACAUCUGACAACAACAUGAAGCUAGCAAUAAGCUGCUUAUCUACCGUGUGAAUAACCUACAAAAAUGAAAAUCGCCAGCCCAGUUUAAUAUCAAAACUAUAGAAGUACAUAAGCGAAACUAUAUUUUACAUGAAACACCCAAGAUAAUAUUUGAAGAAAUUUUUGUUUAUUCAUGUUCCUAUUUAUCAAUGUGCAUCAUGCAAAUUCAUUGAAGAAAUUUAAGAUGCCCAAACUUAGGGAUAUACCAAAAUUCAAAUUGAGAAACUCUGACCAAGUGACAAAGUGACAUACAUAAGAAUGAAAAAUACAGGUCAAUCAAAUGACAUUCUCUGGUGAUAGAUCACGCUGGUACAGCUACUGGCCUUUUGCUGGUUUUGAUUCCUCUUAUAG